GACAGGAGGGUGCAAACGUUGUUCGGAAUUACUGGGCGUAAAGCGUGUGUAGGCGGCCAAGCAAGGUCGGAUGUGAAAGCCCUGGGCUCAACCCAGGAAGUGCACUCGAUACUGCCUGGCUCGAGUGAUCGGAGAGGUUGGUGGAAUUCUCGGUGUAGAGGUGAAAUUCGUAGAUAUCGAGAGGAACACCGGUGGCGAAGGCGGCCAACUGGACGAAUACUGACGCUGAGAACACGAAAGCGUGGGGAGCAAACAGG
rnacentral:rRNA from 1 species